ACUACAACAACAACAACAACAACAACAACAAAGCCUUUUCCCACUAAGUGGGGUCGGCUAUAUGAAUCCUAGAACGCCAUUGCGCUCGGUUUUGUGUCAUGUCCUCCGUUAGAUCCAAGUACUCUAAGUCUUUUCUUAGAGUCUCUUCCAAAGUUUUCCUAGGUCUUCCUCUACCCCUUCGGCCCUGAACCUCUGUCCCGUAGUCACAUCUUCGAACCGGAGCGUCAGUCGGCCUUCUUUG
rnacentral:lncRNA from 1 species